rnacentral:rRNA from 9 species
CGACUCUCGGCAACGGAUAUCUCGGCUCUCGCAUCGAUGAAGAACGCAGCAAAAUGCGAUACUUGGUGUGAAUUGCAGAAUCCCGUGAAUCAUCGAGUUUUUGAACGCAAGUUGCGCCCGAAGCCAUUAUGCUGAGGGCACGUCUGCCUGGGCGUCACG